AACGAACGCUGGCGGCAUGCCUAACACAUGCAAGUCGAACGAGACCUUCGGGUCUAGUGGCGCACGGGUGCGUAACGCGUGGGAACCUGCCCUUAGGUUCGGAAUAACUCCCCGAAAGGGGUGCUAAUACCGGAUAAUGUCUUCGGACCAAAGAUUUAUCGCCUUUGGAUGGGCUCGCGUUGGAUUAGCUAGUUGGUAGGGUAAAAGCCUACCAAGGCGACGAUCCAUAGCUGGUCUGAGAGGAUGAUCAGCCACACUGGGACUGAGACACGGCCCAGACUCCUACGGGAGGCAGCAGUGGGGAAUAUUGGACAAUGGGCGAAAGCCUGAUGCAGCAAUGCCGCGUGAGUGAUGAAGGCCUUAGGGUUGUAAAGCUCUUUUACCCGGGAUGAUAAUGACAGUACCGGGAGAAUAAGCUCCGGCUAACUCCGUG
rnacentral:rRNA from 1 species